rnacentral:rRNA from 1 species
AGUAACACGUGGGCAACCUGCCCUGAAGCGGGGGAUAACAUCUGGAAACAGGUGCUAAUACCGCAUAACAACGAAAACCACAUGGUUUUCGUUUCAAAGAUGGUUUCGGCUAUCACUUCAGGAUGGGCCCGCGGUGCAUUAGCUAGUUGGUAGGGUAACGGCUUACCAAGGCAAUGAUGCAUAGCCGAGUUGAGAGACUGAUCGGCCACAAUGGAACUGAGACACGGUCCAUACUCCUACGGGAGGCAGCAGCG